AUGGGUUCCCUGCUCAUACCGCUGCUGGUACGCGUGGCGGCCAAGGCCGGCGACGCGCUGGUGACCGAGCUGCUGCGGGCAUGGGGGCUGGACAAGUCCCGCCAGAAGCUGGAGCGCCACCUCGCGGCCGUCCAGUCCAUCCUGCUGGACGCCGACGCCAAAAGCCACACCAACCCCGCCGUCCGACGGUGGAUCAAUGAUUUCAAGACCGCCGCCUACCAGGCCGACGACGUCCUCGAUGACUUCCGCUACGAGGUGCUGCGCCGCCGUGACGCUCAGCUCCGCUGCUGCUCCACCACACGCAAGGUGCUAAGCUACUUAACCGUCAAUAGUCCUGUUGUUUUCCGUCUCUCGAUGAGUAGGAAGAUGAAGGAUGCUCUUGAAAUGAUUGAUGAACUGGUCAUGGAGAUGAACAAUUUUCACUUCCUACAACAUGCCGAGGUACCAAGCAUCAAUCAUCCGCAAACAUACUCUCAUAUUGAUGAAUCCAAGAUUGUAGGCAGACAAGAUGAGAAGGAACGAGUGGUGAAGAUAUUGCUUGAGCACUCCGACAAUAGUAGUGAUGAUGCUGAUAAUAAUGUCUUGGUGCUCCCCAUAGUUGGUAUGGGGGGGAUUGGUAAGACUACCCUUGCCCAACUUGUGUACAAUGAUCAGAGGGUGAAGCAUCAUUUUGAGUUGGUCUUAUGGGUCUGUGUCUCUGACAAGUUUGUUAUCGAAGAAAUAAUCAGAUCUAUAAUAGAAGUGGCCAUGAUGAAGAAGUGUGAUUUCACUCAGAUGGAGGCACUGCGAAAGGAACUUUGUGAAGUUUUGGGCAAUAAAAGGUACCUCCUAGUAUUGGAUGGUGUUUGGAGUGAAGAUGGACAAAAGUGGGAGGCCAUGAGAUCAUUGCUAAACUCACAUGCUGGCUCAGGUAGUUCUAUAAUUGUGACAAGCCGAAGCGAUCAAGUUGCUUCUAUCAUGGGCACACUUCCUCCACGUAAAAUAUCACUCCUAAAUGAGGAUCACUCAUGGGAGCUUUUUCACAGAAACACAUUUGGAAGGGGAGUGGAAAAGCAAGAGGAAUUGAUUUCAAUGGCUAAGAGUAUUGUCGACAAGUGUAAGGGAUUGCCUCUUGCUAUCAAAACCAUGGCAACUUUACUUCAUUCCAAGCAUCACAAUCAGUGGUUUUCUGUUCUGGAAAGUGAUGUCUGGAUGAAUGAUGUACUAGCAACCGGGGUUAUACCUGCACUACAACUGAGCUAUGAUCACUUGUCAUCGGAAGCAAAAAUAUGCUUUUCCUUUUGUGCCAUUUUCCCCAAAGAUAGCAUGAUGAAUAAGGACACGUUAAUCCAGCUAUGGAUGGCAAAUGACUUUAUUGCAUCAGAAGCAAGAGGCCAACAAAUUUUUGAUGUGCUAGUUUGGAGAUGUUUCCUACAAGAUGUGGAAGUUCAAAACAAUAGAUUCAUCCACCAACCAACUACUUGCAAGAUGCAUGAUCUCAUGCAUGAUCUUGCUGACUCCGUAAGCGGAAAUGAUUGCUCAGUUCUGCAAAAACCUUCAUCAUGUCAAGACAACCUGCAAGGAUCCACAGAUGCUCGUACAUUACAACAUGAGGUUCGGCAUUUGUCAGUUGAAUAUGUUGAUAAUUAUACCAUUGCAGCCAUGAAAGAAAUUCUAGAUAACCGACCCCGCACACUUUUAAUUGGAAUGAGGUUUAAGCAUCGUCAGGAUUUAACCAACCUUAUGCUUAUGGCGAAGUCAAAAUUCAUAUCUUUACGAGCACUGGAGAUAGACCCAUUCAAGGCACACAUGACAAAUAUGAAGCAUCUUCGUUACCUAGAUUGUUCUUAUUCUAGUAUAUUUGCAUUGCCUGAAGCUGUUACCAUGUUGUAUAGCUUGCAAACGUUGAAGCUCAGUUACUGUAAAUAUCUUGAGAAAUUACCAGAAGGGAUGAGAUAUAUGAGUAGUCUUCGACACAUCUUCCUCAUUCAAUGUGAUAGUCUGAAGUGCAUGCCACAAGGUAUUGGUCAGCUGAAUUCUCUAGUGACAUUAACAAAUUAUGUCAUUGGUAGUGAUGCAGAUCGCGGAAUUGAUCAAUUGAGAGAUCUGAAUCUGGGUGGUGCUCUUUCUUUGACUGAUCUGAGAAAAGUGCAUAGUGCAGAAAAUUCUAAACAAGGCAAUAUGUCUUCCAAGCAUAAUUUGAAACGAUUGUCACUCGACUGGUAUGGACCUUCUAGCAUAAAUGUUGGAUAUGAAGUAGAUACUAAUGCAGAAGGAAUAUUAGAGGCCCUUCGUCCUCACAAAAGGCUUGAAGUUUUAAUGUUGUCCAAUUAUACUGGUGCUAAAUUAUCAUCAUGGAUGAACAACUCUACACUGCUAGAACAUCUCAGUGAACUUUCUCUGACUGGAUGCAAGAAUUGCAAGGAUCUUCCACCAUUAUGGCAGCUGCCCUCCCUCGUGAGCUUGUGUUUGAAUUAUUUUGAUAGCUUGGCAAGUAUAUGCAUUGUUAAUCAUGAUACACACAAUGGGGAAUCAUGUAUUUCUCCACCACCUAUUUUUGGUAAAUUGGAAACUAUGGUAGUUUCAAACAUGCCUAAGCUAGAGAGAUGGCACCAAGAGAUGGCGGGACAAGAAGCGGAUGUAUCAUUCCCUCGUCUCAAGAAGCUAAAUAUUUCUAAAUGCCCAAUGCUAGCAAGCAUGCCCAAGGUGCUCCCUUUGCUUGAAGAUCUAGUGGCAAGAGACAUUCCCCUUUACCAUCUGAUGAAUCUGUCUGUGCAGUCUAAUCUUGAGUGCAAAGGUUCCAUUGAAGUGGAACCUGCGGUUGGUCAGUUGAUUGUUGAUGACCUUCAUUUUGACCUUCAUUUCUCGAUGUCUAUUGAUUCUUAUGUGUUCCUGAGACUGAGAGGUUUGACGGACAAUGUAGAGCGCUUUCAAGGGGAGUUGAACAAAGUCCCUUCCAGAUUUAUUAAGAACCUGACUAUAAUAGAUUGUGAUGGCCUUUUCUCAUCUGAACCAUGCCAAAUGCAACGAGAUAUAUGGAACCAUUUUGGUUUUGUUGAAGGAAUGUUGGUUUCAUGCAUCAAUAAUAUAGUACAAUGGCCAGCGGCAAAAUUGGGAAACUUGAAUCAUCUUCGAGAUCUACAUUUUUCUGGUUGCUCCAACUUAACUGGUUCACUUACAUCAACAAUAUCUGAUAGGGAAAACAUCCUGCUUCCUCCACUCCAGAGUCUUACAAUUACGGAUUGUGAGAAAUUGUCGGAGGUUCCAAAGUUGCCUCCAUCUCUUGAAAUUUUGUCGAUCUCUUUUUGUCCCAACCUCGUGUCCAUGGCAACAAUUCGGAAUGUCGACAAAUUGAAAGCAUUGAGUGUGCUUGAGUGUGAAGCCCUGACGACAUUUCCAGAUGGAGAUUAUGGAGUCACUAAACUCGGGACGUUGGAAAUGCAGCGGUGCCCAAGGUUAGAGACACUACCAGAGGGACUCCUGCAGCAGCUCCCAGCCCUCAAGAUGCUAUGGAUCAGAGACUGCCCCAACUUGGAAGAGGAAUUCUCAAGAGGAGGCGCUUACUGGAAUUUUGUUGAAGCAAUUCCAUACAGAUAUGUUGGCGUUCAAGAUCAGUCCAUGGACCCAAGCGCUAAAUGCUUCACUUGCCUUUGA
rnacentral:rRNA from 1 species